CCAGAUAACGCCACUCGCAAAAAAAAAGUGUUUAAGUUCAGUCACAGUGUCUCUAAAGAAAAAAGUUAUAUAUUUAUAAAAAAAUAAAAAUAUUCACUAUUGCUGGCUAGCAUAUAGUAUUCAUCACCAAAUAUGGAAAAGUGUGGAAAACGUGUCGCAAAAGCGAAGCAAAGGCCCUAUUCCAGUAUAGAAAAAACGCCAACGUAGUCUUGCUCGACGUGGGCAAUAUUUGCUCACAAAUUUAAACAAAGAAGCACGAUGAAGAAGUGUAUUAGUCAUCGAUUUGGCCGUCAGCUUCGGGGAAUUUCACAAUGCGGAACGCUGGGAAAGCAGGAAAGGCGCAGUUUCUCGUUUUUGGCUAGAAAGUGACUCUCUAGGCAGGAUGAGGCAAUCCAGGAGGUUCAGGAAACUCUCUCGAAACUGUCCCAGACGGGUGCAAUGGCGGCAGCCCUGACCCACAGUGUACGUGGAUUUGAUAAAUUGGGAUAGGAAGCCAGGUACAAACAGCAGAAAAUCAAGAGUGACAUAUUUUAAUGCACCUUGUAAUUCGUAAGCAAAAAAGUAGUCUUAAGAACUAGAUACUUGUCGAAUGUCGAUCUGCAGGAAAAAACUUAUUUUCUCACUCCCCAUUUCGUGGCCACACGUUUGUCGUGGCCUUUUCUGAUACCAAAUUAUGUCAAAUUCGGACUAUUUCAGCGCAUUGCGUAAUCAGGAAUUUUUUUCCAGAACAAUUCCACGCGUCUCGAAUCAUGGCGAAAAUUCUCGAUUUUUCCUUUCAACCCCCCAAACCGAAUCAUUUGCCACCACCUGGCCUGCUCUGAAAAUAACCUUUUUGUAGCCCUCUCUCUCUUCACUUACAUGUUAUGUGUAUGUAUAUUCAUCUCGCUCCCACUUGUGGGUUACAGAUAUCCAUACUACAUUCGGUUGUACUCGUACUGACGUCAACAGCAGAGCAGCUGCAAUAAGUACAUGGGUGUGAAUUUCUCUUCCAUGUAUUUUCUUUUCUUCUACGAAUAUAUAUAUAUUUUCCCAUAUGCUGGGUCUAGGGAAAAUUUCAUUACUUUACGUUUCUUCAUCCCUGUUGCUGUUCUUCUAUUGGCAUCUAUCUUACCUACGUUUAAGUUUCGUAGUCGUUAUGACAUUUACAUAGCUGAUAAUCUUAUUUUUAAUUAUGCAAUAUGCAACUCUGACACACCACUUAACCAAGCAAUAUGUAUUUCUUUCUCUAAACUUUAUAGUUGGGCGUUGAAUGUUGAUACGCAGCGUUUUCGAUCGAUCCAAGUAAAACUCUGUACCCUUCGCGAGCAAAAGGCAGAUGAAGUGCUGAAAAUGCACUUCGGCCGAUGUACGCGUUUGCCGAAAGUUUUGGCUGCGUCCCUGACUCGGCCUUAGUGUCGCUUGUUGGGGUCUGCAGACUGACCAGGGUGCGUCGUUUCUAUCAGAUUGAUUGUGCGGAUUGUGUUAUAGGAACACCGGUGUAUCGACUUCUCUGCUCUACUAAGGGUGAACCAUACAAAGGGCCUUCUGUUGCUUACCCACCAUCGAACAAUACCAAAACCGGGCAGAUAUACGUACAUAUAACUCGGUUCUGACAUCGAUACAUUGAAUCUGUUCACACGUCGUCUUUGGAGUAGCAAUUGAACCAACCAACCAGUCGAAAACAAUCGCAGUUGGUUGCCAACCAUCUUUUCUGUGGCUAAACACUUUGUAGUGAACUCAAAGCGGAAUCAGUUCCACAACAACAAUGUGUUAAGUUCUUAAUUAUUUGAAAUUGUUUACAAUUUUUUGUUUGUUUUUGUACACUCUACGACUUUAUAAUUACUUAUACUGAUGUAAAAUUACUUGUCGAAACAAAACUGAGAAUAAGAAAAUGGAAAAAAAUGCAUUACAAAAGAGCUCAUCUAUAUCUAUGGAAAAGAAGCAACAAAAAAGUGAAUAAAAUUCAAAAAUUCCAAAAAUAAAUCUCAAAACAUUGCUCGUCAUAUUUUUUUAUUUCAAGC
rnacentral:lncRNA from 1 species